CGCCUUGCCAGCCCGCUCAGAAACUUAAAGGAAUUGAGGGGGCCCGCACAAGCGGAGGAACAUGUGGUUUAAUUCGAUGAUACGCGAGGAACCUUACCUGGGCUAGAACGCAAUCGGAAUCAGGCCGAAAGGUCUGCGCCAGCGAUGGCCGGUUGCGAGGUGCUGCAUGGUUGUCGUCAGCUCGUGCCGUGAGGUGUCGGGUUAAGUCCCAUAACGAGCGCAACCCCUACUGCUAGUUGCCAGCGGGUCAUGCCGGGGACUCUAGCGGAACUGCCAGCGUAAGCUGCGAGGAAGGUGGGGAUGACGUCAAAUCAGCACGGCCCUUACGUCCAGGGCUACACACGUGUUACAAUGGCCAGUACAGAGGGCAGCCACCCCGCGAGGGGGCGCUAAUCCUAAAAGCUGGUCCCAGUUCGGAUCGGAGUCUGCAACCCGACUCCGUGAAGCUGGAUUCGCUAGUAAUCGCGCAUCAGCCACGGCGCGGUGAAUACGUUCCCGGGCCUU
rnacentral:rRNA from 1 species